GGUUUGAUCAUGGCUCAGAUUGAACGCUGGCGGGAUGCUUUACAGACAAGUCGAACGGCAGCACGGACUUCGGUCUGCGGUUGAGUGGCGAACGGGUGAGUAAUGUAUCGGAACGUGCCUAGUAGCGGGGAUAACUACGCGAAAGCGUAGCUAAUACCGUGCCAUUGCCCUUCGGGAAAGCAAGACCUUCGGGCCUCACUAUUAGAGCGGCCGGAUAUCGGAUUAGCUAGUUGGUGGGGUAACGGCCACUCAAGCGAUUACUUGAUCCAGCUGAAGUUUGAGAGGACGACCAGCCACACUGGGACUGAGACACGGCCCAGACUCCUACGGAGGCAGCAGUGGGGAAUUUUGGACAAUGGGGGAACCCCGAUCCAGCCAAUUCCCGCGUGUGAUGAAGGCCUUCGUACAGAAGCACUUUUGGCAGGGAAAGAAACGCACGGGAUAAUACCCGUGCAACUGACGGUACCUCGCAGAAUAAGCACCGGCUAACUACGUGCCAGCAGCCGCGUAAUACGUAGGGUGCAAGCGUUAAUCGGGAAUUACUGGGCGGAAGUGUGGUGCAGGCAAGCCCGGAAGAAAGAUGCGAAAUCCCAGAGCUUAACUUUGGAACUGCAUUUUUAACUACCGAGCUAGAGUGUCAGAGGGAGGUGGAAUCUUGCGUGUAGCAAGGAAUGCGUAGAUAUGCGGAGGAACACUGAUGGCGAAGGCAGCCUCCUGGGAUAACACUGAUGCUCAUGCACGAAAGCGUGGGGAGCAAACAGGAUUAGAUACCCUGGUAGUCCACGCCCUAAACGAUGUCAAUUAGCUGUUGGGGCCUUCUGGCCUUGGUAGCGCAGCUAACGCGUGAAGUUGACCGCCUGGGGAGUAUGUUCGCAAGAUUAAAACUCAGCGAAUUGACGGGGACCCGCACAAGCGGUGGAUGAUGUGGAUUAAUUCGAUGCAAAUGCGAAAACCUUACCUACCCUUGACAUGUCUGGAAUCCCGAAGAGAUUUGGAGUGCUCGCAAGAGAACUGAACACAGGUGCUGCAUGGUUGUCAGCUCGUGUCGAGAUGUUGGGUUAAGUCCCGCAACGAGCGCAACCCUUGUCAUUAGUUGCUACGAAAGGGCACUCUAAUGAGACUGCCGGUGACAACCGGAGGAAGGUGGGGAUGACGUCAAGUCCUCAUGGCCCCCAGGGUAGGGCUUCACACGUCAUACAAUGGUCGGGACAGAGAGGGUCGCCAACCUGCGAGGGGGACAAUCCCAGAAACCCGAUCGUAGUCCGGAUCGCAGUCUGCAAACUGACUGUGCGGAAGUCGGAAUCGCUAGUAAUCGCGGAUCAGCAUGUCGCGGUGAAUACGUUCCCGGGUCUUGUACACACCGCCCGUCACACCAUGGGAGUGGGGCUUAUCAUAGGCGUAGUUAGCCUAACCGUAAGGAGGGCGAUUGCUUCACGGUAGGAUUCAGGACGGGGGUAGUCGUAACAAG
rnacentral:rRNA from 1 species